rnacentral:lncRNA from 1 species
AUGUUGCCACCGCGGGGCGCAAGGACUGGGGAAAGGGAGAGCCGAAGGGCUGCCGCACCGGCGUCUGCUACGGUCUAUGGUCUAUGGGCUGCGAACUCCAGGCAGGUUCUUGUUUCUUUCUUCGCUUUUUCGAGGCGUCUAUGGAUGGGGGCGCCUUUGCUUCCAUCCAGGGUGUGCUUGCAGCGGGAGUCACGGAACCCGGGAGACGAGCGCACACUUGGCGAGUUCGCAGGCGCGGAAGGGCCGGGACCGAAACUCGCUCCUCGCGGGAAAAUCCUAAGGUGUCUGCGGCCCACUCCCCCCCCACUGCGACCCUUCUGCCCCGGAGACUCGGGGUUUGCAGCCGCAGUCGCGCGGAGACCAUUUGCCAGCGCCACAGCGCGGGCGCCGUCGAUGGGGAGAGGGGUGUCCCAGCCCGGGUUGCGCCUGGCCGGGUUCCCAGCUGCGGCCCUCGGAAGCACGCUGCCCGGGCUCCAGAAAAUUUCCCUCCCCCGCAGCGCUUUUCUGUGGGUACCGGGCCGGGCGGCCGCGAAAACCUCCACGCCCGGGACCUGCCACAGCCAGGAACCGGGCCGGACAGCGCCGCGCCCACUCCGAGGGCGGGGGCUCCAGAGCGGGGUCGCCUCUUGUGCAAGGCCAUCUCAUCUCUCUCCAGACCCCCCAGCGGGCCCGACUCCCUUCUGCCCACCCAUGGCGGUGCAGCCCGCUUGGCUCCGGGGACACCGCGCCGCCACCCUCAGCGCCGCGGCUAGAGCGCACUGCCGACGCAGCGAGCGCACCGCCGAACAUCCGCAGGGAGCUUUUAGGUUUUCCAAGUCUUCGCCCAGUGCCUUGUUCUGGAAUCAGUGUGGCUCAUUUUGUGCUAUCCCCUGUUUUCCCUUAACUCCUCCCGCCUCCCUAGGCCUUUUCUGUCUCUUAAGCACGGCUGGAGUUUUCCGCUCACGCCAGCAAUUUCAUACGGAAAGUCUUGUGACUCUGCCAUCGGGGCAUCCACGCCUAUGGUGGCCGCAGCAGCCCAGCGUGGGUGCUGAGGAUUUCCCCAGCCAGCGCGCCCAAGGGUUGGAAGAGAUGAACAGAUGCCCAUCGCUCCGCGGACACGCAUCUCUCUCUCUCUCUCUCUCUCUCUCUCUCUCUCUCUCUCUCACACACACACACACACACACACACACACACACACACACACACAGAGGCCACCUCCAGAAUAGUAUCUCCAAACCUACCCUGGAAAUUUCAUGUUCUUUCCCUGAAGGUGACAGUCAACCCCCAAGGGGUAUGGAAAAUUGA